AAUAGACUCAUAGACCCUCCAUGAAAGAUGGUUAAAAAAAUUAGAGCUGAACAACACUAUCUCUCUAAUUCUUCCUUUGUUCCCACAUUAAAACAUUCUCCCUAACUUAAGCAUUAGAGACCUAGUUGGAGUAAAGCUCCGAUAAGUUCUCUGACCUCUUUAUUAUCUUGUAGAUUGAUAAAAGUAGCUUACUUCUAGGAUUCAA
rnacentral:lncRNA from 1 species